CACUUCCUUGUCUUGGGGAGCAUAGUGCGCAGUGAUCGUAAAGUGAGAGCACUGAUGCUGACACCCAGUUAUACUUGUAUAACAUACCCGCGCCCGGCUGCCGUAAAGGGAGUCUGAGCGCAAUUUUUGAAAGG